rnacentral:lncRNA from 1 species
AUCUACUCUAUUUCUUAAAUGUUUCAUUUUCUUUGAAACUGUUUACUUAUUAGGAAAUAAAUGUAAGCAGGAAGUACACACAAAUGUACACACAAACAUACACAUACAUGAAAAACACAGUAUAUUGCAUUUUUUCUUUUGAGAAGAAUGAUAUAUUCAUCUUCUCUGGGGAUAAUUUUAACCUUUCUUCAUGGAAGAUAAUUUGUUGAAAAUAUAGCCUCCAAUUGCAAUGUUUCUGAUUACAAAGUACAUGUUUCUAUAUAAUUUUCAUGUCUGUCAUUAUUUCAGUGAGGGUGCUUGAAAAAACAAUUUCUUGAAAGUUUUCAUUCUGUUGAGCUGCCAGAUUGAUUUUUAUAGAUAUUCCAGUAUGACAAAGGUAAAAAACUGAAACAAUUGUGUCUUUUCUGAGUUUGCUAAAGUGAAUUCUUUAGAGUUGAGAGGGUGGCAUCAAAUCAGUCCUUGGGCCCCAUACUUAGCUCCCGAAUUGAGGUUGAGAAGACUCUAUCUCUAUUUUUAUUGUUUAUUAUACUCAAAUUUCAGAAGGACACAAAAAUUCAAAACAAACAACAGGAUAGAUCCUGGGAACCCUCCUCCUGGACCUGGAUCAAAAGGUAUGGGCCCCCCAAAAGCCAGAACCCAAGAUCACUCGGGUCUCAGGGGUAGGCAGAAGGAAGGUCCCAGGACCCAUCCCUCACAACCCAGAUUAGUGAUAUUUCCUCAUUAUCUAAAGUCCCUUUUAACAGAAUAUAAUAACCUUCCCUAUCCCUUUUAAUCAGGUCUAUUUUUGCUUUGGCUUUAUCAGAUAUCUUGAUUGCAACUCCUGCCUUCUUUCUGUCAGUUGAGGCCCAGAAGGUCUUACUCCAUCCUUUAAUUCUGACCUUUUGGGUGUCUACCUGCCUCGUGUGUUUCUUGAAGACAACAUAUGGUAGGGUUUUGGAUUCUAAUCCAUUCUGCUAAUUCAUCUAUGUUUUAUGGGUGUGUUCAUCCCAUUCACGUUCAAAGUUAUGAUUGUCACUUGUGGACUUCCUGGCAUUUUGAUAUCCUUCCCUAAUUCUAACCUUCUUCUUCGGCUCUACCUUUUAAUCCAGUGAUUUACUUUAAAUCAGUCCCCCUUGUCCCCUCCAUUGAUAUGUUUCCCUUUCUAGCCCCUCCCUUUUUGUUCCCUCCCCCUCCCCCCUCUUCUUCCCUCCCUUUUUUGUAUUCCCUUCCCCCUACCCUCCUUGGUUUUCCCUUCUCCCUAUCCUUGUUGGGUAAGAUAGAAUUCAAGAUCC